CACGCUGUAAACGUUGGGCGCUAGGUGUGGGGGGCCUUCCCGGUUUCCUGUGCCGUAGCUAACGCAUUAAGCGCCCCGCCUGGGGAGUACGGCCGCAAGGCUAAAACUCAAAGGAAUUGACGGGGGCCCGCACAAGCGGCGGAGCAUGCGGAUUAAUUCGAUGCAACGCGAAGAACCUUACCUGGGUUUGACAUGCCGGGAAAUCCUUCAGAGAUGGGGGGUGCCUUCGGGCGUCCGGUACAGGUGG
rnacentral:rRNA from 1 species